rnacentral:rRNA from 1 species
AACGCGAAGAACCUUACCAAGUCUUGACAUCCUUCUGACCGUCCAGUAAUGUGGACUUCUCUUCGGAGCAGGAGAGACAGGUGGUGCAUGGUUGUCGUCAGCUCGUGUCGUGAGAUGUUGGGUUAAGUCCCGCAACGAGCGCAACCCUUAUUCUUAGUAGCCAGCGGUUCGGCCGGGCACUCUAGGGAGACUGCCGGAGAUAAUCCGGAGGAAGGUGGGGAUGACGUCAAAUCAUCAUGCCCCUUAUGACUUGGGCUACACACGUGCUACAAUGGUGGUAACAAAGUGAAGCGACCUCGUGAGAGUGAGCCAACCACAAAAAUGCCAUCUCAGUUCGGAUUGUAGUCUGCAACUCGACUACAUGAAGCUGGAAUCGCUAGUAAUCGCAGAUCAGAAUGCUGCGGUGAAUACGUUCCCGGGUCUUGUACACACGC